GACGAACCGUGCGAACGUUAUUCGGAAUCACUGGGCUUAAAGCGCGUGUAGGCGGGAGGGCACUCGUCCGUCGCUGAAAUCCCCCGGCUCAACCGGGGAACGGGCGCGGAUACGACCUUCCUGGAGGGGCGUAGGGGGACCUGGAACUUCCGGUGGAGCGGUGAAAUGCGUUGAGAUCGGAAGGAACGCCCGUGGCGAAAGCGAGGUCCUGGACGCCUACUGACGCUGAGACGCGAAAGCCAGGGGAGCGAACGGG
rnacentral:rRNA from 1 species